rnacentral:rRNA from 1 species
UACGUAGGGGGCAAGCGUUGUCCGGAAUUAUUGGGCGUAAAGAGCGUGUAGGCGGUCCGGUAAGUCGGCUGUGAAAGUCCAGGGCUCAACCCUGGGAUGCCGAUCGAUACUGCCGGACUAGAGUUCGGAAGAGGCGAGUGGAAUUCCCGGUGUAGCGGUGAAAUGCGCAGAUAUCGGGAGGAACACCUAUGGCGAAGGCAGCUCGCUGGGACGUUACUGACGCUGAGACGCGAAAGCGUGGGGAGCAAACAGG